rnacentral:rRNA from 1 species
UACGUAGGGAGCAAGCGUUGUUCGGAUUUACUGGGCGUAAAGGGCGCGUAGGCGGCGCGGUAAGUCACUUGUGAAAUCUCUGAGCUUAACUCAGAACGGCCAAGUGAUACUGCAGUGCUAGAGUGCAGAAAGGGCAAUCGGAAUUCUUGGUGUAGCGGUGAAAUGCGUAGAUAUCGUUUGGAACGCCAAAGGUGAAAACAGACAGCUGGGAGUGUGCUGACGCUGAGACACGAAAGCCAGGGGAGCGAACGGG